UACGGGGGGGGCAAGCGUUGUUCGGAAUUACUGGGCGUAAAGGGCUCGUAGGCGGUGUGUCGCGUCGGCCGUGAAAACCUGCAGCUUAACUGUGGGCGUGCGGUCGAUACGGGCAUCACUGGAGUUCGGCAGGGGAGACUGGAAUUCCUGGUGUAGCGGUGAAAUGCGCAGAUAUCAGGAGGAACACCGGUGGCGAAGGCGGGUCUCUGGGCCGUAACUGAACGCUGGAGGAG
rnacentral:rRNA from 1 species